UACGGGGGGUGCGAGCGUUGUCCGGAAUCACUGGGCGUAAAGGGCAGGUAGGUGGUCUCAUUUGUCAGGGGUGAAAGCCUUGGGCUUAACUCAAGAAGUGCCCCUGAAACGGUGAGACUAGAGUGCUCGAGAGGGUCGUGGAAUUCCCGGUGUAGCGGUGAAAUUCGUAGAGAUUGGGAAGAACACCGGUGGCGAAAGCGCUCUGCUAGGACAAUACUGACACUGAGGGACGAAAGCUAGGGGAGCGAAUGGG
rnacentral:rRNA from 1 species